rnacentral:rRNA from 1 species
GUGCCAGCAGCCGCGGUAAUACAGAGGUCUCAAGCGUUGUUCGGAUUCAUUGGGCGUAAAGGGUGCGUAGGUGGCGAGGCAAGUCAGAUGUGAAAUCCCGGGGCUCAACCCCGGAACUGCAUUUGAAACUGCCUUGCUCGAGUACUGGAGAGGAGACUGGAAUUUACGGUGUAGCAGUGAAAUGCGUAGAUAUCGUAAGGAAGACCAGUGGCGAAGGCGAGUCUCUGGACAGUUACUGACACUGAGGCACGAAGGCCAGGGGAGCAAACGGGAUUAGAAACCCUGGUAGUCC